UACGGAGGGGGCUAGCGUUGUUCGGAAUUACUGGGCGUAAAGCGCACGUAGGCGGCUUUGUAAGUUAGAGGUGAAAGCCCGGGGCUCAACUCCGGAAUUGCCUUUAAGACUGCAUCGCUUGAACACGGGAGAGGUGAGUGGAAUUCCUGGUGUAGCAGUGAAAUGCGUAGAUAUCAGGAGGAAUACCGAUGGCGAAGGCAGGUCUCUGGGCUGAAACUGACGCUCAUGCACGAAAGCGUGGGGAGCAAACAGG
rnacentral:rRNA from 1 species